GUAGCUUGGUGAGUUGGGGAAAUUAUUGGAUAGAGAUUGAAAAGUGAUAGUUGAGCUUUUUUGUUGUUGAUAUUAUUCAAUUCAAAUUACAGGAGGCGGAGGAGGUAGAUUAUACAUGUUUUUAGAACUUCAUUUUUUGUGUCCAGUUAGCAAGGCAAAUUUAAAUAAAUUGAACUAACUUCAGUAGCAAGUAGAAGUAGCUAGUUAGCUGGUUACCAGCUUGAGUGUGCCGUUUUCGCAGCCAACGCUACCACAAAUUUGGUUUACUUUUUGUUGAAGAACCACUUUUAUUCUGGGGUACACCGGGAAGGUGUGAAUUAAAACCGAGGGUCAACCUCUGCCUGAGAUCAGUUUCAUGAAGCUAAGUCCCCUCCUGUUCCCUGAUUAAGAGGUGAUGACCACUCCACUCGACUACCAUUGUCAACUCUUUCCUGACAUGAACUGAAGCCAUGUCUCAUGUGCCCUUUCAUCCACUGGCACAUAGAAUGUUUCCUCUCCAAUCACUUCAAAUCCUGUCCUGCACUGAAGUCAAGCCUCGGAACACCUCUACCCAUGCCUCAUACCCUCAUUCAGCCACUACUGUGAUCCCUUCCCAAAACUGGAUAAGUUGCCUUCUCAUUCCCAUUCGCCAUAACAUUGUACUAUACAAGUCUUUAUUAAAUGCUUA